rnacentral:rRNA from 1 species
GGCUAAUCCUGGUCGGACAUCAGGAGGUUAGUGCAAUGGCAUAAGCCAGCUUGACUGCGAGCGUGACGGCGCGAGCAGGUGCGAAAGCAGGUCAUAGUGAUCCGGUGGUUCUGAAUGGAAGGGCCAUCGCUCAACGGAUAAAAGGUACUCCGGGGAUAACAGGCUGAUACCGCCCAAGAGUUCAUAUCGACGGCGGUGUUUGGCACCUCGAUGUCGGCUCAUCACAUCCUGGGGCUGAAGUAGGUCCCAAGGGUAUGGCUGUUCGCCAUUUAAAGUGGUACGCGAGCUGGGUUUAGAACGUCGUGAGACAGUUCGGUCCCUAUCUGCCGUGGGCGCUGGAGAACUGAGGGGGGCUGCUCCUAGUACGAGAGGACCGGAGUGGACGCAUCACUGGUGUUCGGGUUGUCAUGCCAAUGGCACUGCCCGGUAGCUAAAUGCGGAAGAGAUAAGUGCUGAAAGCAUCUAAGCACGAAACUUGCCCCGAGAUGA